rnacentral:rRNA from 1 species
UUUCGAAUCAUUCACAAUGGGCGAAAGCCUGAUGAUGCAAUGCCGCGUGGAGGAUGAAGGCCCUAGGGUCGUAAACUCCUGUCAUUGGGGAGCAACAAAUAAGUUCAUAGCUUAUCAUGAGUUAACCCAAAGAGGAAGAGGUGGCUAACUCCGUGCCAGCAGCCGCGGUAAUACGGAGACCUCGAGCGUUACUCGGAUUCACUGGGCGUAAAGGGUGAGUAGGUGGCCAAGUGUGUCAGGUGUGAAAUCCCGGGGCUUAACCCCGGAACUGCGCCUGAAACUACUUGGCUAGAGUCUCGGAGAGGAUAGUGGAAUUCCAAGUGUAGCGGUGAAAUGCGUAGAUAUUUGGAGGAACACCAGUGGCGAAGGCGACUAUCUGGACGAGUACUGACGCUCAAUCACGAAAGCGUGGGUAGCGAAAGGG